UGGCAUCCCCCAUCACCUUCUUAAGGUCUUCACUUAAAAGUCAUCAUCUGGCCGGGCGCGGUGGCUCACCCUGUAAUCUCAGCACUUUGGGUAGGCCAAGGACUGGAUCCUGGACCUGCCCCUGGGACUUGCGGAAGGGGACAGCUCAAUCUGAGCCAUAUCAACUGAGAACACAGGAAGCAUGGUCCUACCAAGAGAUGUCUAUUCCAGGUGGGCAGAACCAAGGUGCCCUCCCUACACCUUCCUGGGGCCUCCAGCGAUCCUGAGCUCAGCCUCCUGACCUGCAGACCCCUCAGCUCUGGCCCUCACGUCCUGCUUGCUGUACCUGCUUUAUCCCAUAUCACCAUCUCCAUUCCUCAGCAUAGUGACAAUCCCAGUUCCUACCCAUUCCACUGGCUUCUCCAUUUGGCUUGGAGCUCUUUAGCUGGAUUGAGACGACUACUCUGAUGAGUGCCAUGUCACUGGCUC